GCUCGGGUGGCGGAAUGGUAGACGCGCUAGCUUGAGGGGCUAGUGGCCCGAUGGGCCGUGUGGGUUCGAGUCCCACCCCGAGCACCA
rnacentral:tRNA from 1 species